CCGGUCAGCCCUGAGAGCACAGGUGAAGGCAAUUCAACUGUGUGAGUGGGAGGGAUGGAGCCUGGCUCCACCUCUCUUAGACCCCAUUUAAGGGCUGACUGCCACUGUGGAAGGAUCUCUGGUUGGAGAUCCUUCUCUUGUAGAGUCUUUCCUGUGAGCCUUGAUCUUCAGAGAUGGGCAGUUACUCAACUAACACUGGGACAACGUGUGAGCGCUUUGAUACAUACUGACACAAAUGACAGGACAAAGAAGCAUGCGUGGAAAUAAAAUGAAAAUUCAGAACAGAUGUCAGGACAUGUUUUUCAUGCUGAAUGUGCAGAGCGGUCAACCAGUGCAACUCUCCACAAUACAGAGUGAGACUUUCGUGUCUGUGUGUGUUCCUGGCAUGUCCAACACGGCUACUGAUUUCAAGAGGAGCUCAAGGAAUGUGCAGCUUGUGGAAAUAGACACAACUAAUAACUGUUGGCAAAUAUCAUUAGCAUCUCCGCAAGGAAUACAACAUAUGACAAUUAGUGACCAGUCCAGCAGAGGUGUUGGCUCUUUGCAUUGGUACAGCUCUUCCGAGUCUGGAUUGCAUGAGGAGCAUAAAGGACCAUUCUGCACGUCUGCUUUCCAGAUAGAUUGCUUAGUUCCCAUUUCUUUUCUAAGCUGUACAUUAUUACUACUACAUCUAAAGCCAACAUUUCUGUGACUUCAGAACAAAUUGGAUUGAUUCUAGAAGCUUUUUGGCUUUAUGUAUUUGCAAAAUUGGCACAUGCUGCAUCUGUGCUACUUGAAUUAACAGAACUGUUCAUAUUUUACUGCAGAUUACUGGCAAAUUUUCCUUUAUUAUUUGCAAAUGGGUACUCUGUGUAGUGUGUGAGUCAGUCAACUCCUAUCCAUUUUUAAUAGGUAUAUUAAAACAUGAUGAUAUGAUGAGAUAUUUUAUUAUAUAAAUAGUGAUUUGACCAUCCUGAGAAAGUAUAUAAAAUGCCCUUUUAUAUCUGACAGCAGGUAUUUUUAAGUGCUAUAAAUAGUUAAACGUAAAAUAGGACUUUCCAUUAUUGUUCUCAUUUGGACUGCGUAGUCAGUCCUUAACCACCUUUAUGUUCAAAGCUGAACUGCAGGAAAACCAGUAACUAAAGUUCUACAUGUAGAAACAUAAUACCUACAGUCUGCACCCGUAUAUGCCUAUGCUUUUAAGAUGCCCAGUUUAUCUCACUUAAAUCAACUGUUUCUGACUGGACCAAUUCCUGGAUGAGUUAAUUGAGCAUGGCUAAACCUAAAAUGCUGGCCUAAUCAAGGAAAUAGGAAGAGGUGAUGACUAUGAAGAUUCUCAGCUUUCAGUAAAGUUCUUCUGCUAGAUAUCAGCGACCAUAAUUCCACCUAGAAAUCUCAGUAGAAAAUAACCAGUAUCACUGCUGAUGUUUCAAUAGCAACACAGCUGUAAUUAAUUUGUACAACAUUAAUAAGGGAAGACUUUGGUUCAUCCCUCUAAUGCAGCAACCAAGUCAUGACAUCUGAAACUGUUCUGAUGCCUGUGACCAAAAC
ensembl:lncRNA